rnacentral:ncRNA from 2 species
UCAACACGACAGGGGAGCGUCUACCCGCCUUGGGUACCGGCGCUGAGAGUGCGGUUCGCCGCAGACCCUCGAACCUGCUCCGGCUAGUACCGGCGAAGGGAGUCGAGUUCUCUUCGGC